UACGGGGGGGGCAAGCGUUGUUCGGAAUUACUGGGCGUAAAGGGCUCGUAGGCGGCCAACUAAGUCGGACGUGAAAUCCCCAGGCUCAACCUGGGAACUGCGUCCGAUACUGGAUGGCUUGAAUCCGGGAGAGGGAUGCAGAAUUCCAGGUGUAGCGGUGAAAUGCGUAGAUAUCUGGAGGAACACCGGUGGCGAAGGCGGAUCUCUGGGCCUUACCUGACGCUCAGGCGCGAAAGCUAGGGGAGCGAACAGG
rnacentral:rRNA from 1 species